rnacentral:rRNA from 1 species
AUGAUUGUUCAGGUGAGCGGGAGAGGAGGAGGGGAGGAGCAGCGGCUGAGCAGGGUGGGGUCGAGGCCGCCGUGCUGCGUGUGCGAGCGGAGGUGCGGCGGCUGCGCGCCGUGCACGGCCGUGCAGGUCCGCGCCGGAGUCGGGCCGCUGUGCGCCAACUACGAGCCCGUCAGGUGGAAGUGCAAGUGCGGCGACGCCGUCUUCGACCCAUGA